GUUGUAGUAAAGUAACAAAUGAGGCUAUACAUCUAGAUAUACAAUGAAAUGAAAUCCAGUAGAUCUGAUGUAAAUAUAUCAUGCAGACAAAAUAAAGAAAGAACAAUCCAUGUUUACCAAUAACAAAAAAUAAAUCAAAUAUAAACGACAGUCAGCAAAGUAAUAUAAAAGAAUACAGGCAUCAAUCUUACAAGAGAAAAUCUUAUUCUAGAUUUAAUCAUUUGAAGCUACACAUAGAUAAAGUUAGUUCAUUCAUGUUAAAAUCACAUUACUGAUUGAUGCAAAACUCAAUUUCCCUACAGCUACCCUUGAAGAAGAUUUUAAACAUUUACUUAUGUUGUUCUUGUACAACCGUGAUUAAGAUCAUAUAUCAAUAAAAUUUAAAUAGCAUAUGAUUGAAAGUAACUUGCAAAUAAAUCUUUGACAUGGAUCAUUUAAGACACCUAAUGUUAUUACUACUUUAUAUGAAUUUUGUCAUUGUCUGUAGGAACUUCCUUAAGUUUUGUUUUAAGCACUAGUUAGCCUCUUGUUUCUAAGCUAAAAAUUAAAUUAUUGCAGAGAGAAAUGUGACAACCAUUGCAUUGUUCUAAUUUCUUCAUUAUAACAUGAAUGCACAUGCUAAAAUGUGUUGCUUGCAGAGGCGGAAAUAGAGGGUGCCCCCUUUUGUGGUAAAAAUUUGGUUAAUUAUAUAGGGAAUAACUGGAGCAGGCUCCCUCUUAAGCAGGCAGUGGGUCCCACUUAUGAAAUUUUCUGGAUCCGCCACUGGCUUGCUUAACUGAUGAUGAUAGAAUAGAAUUAACUUAUUUCAUGUUGAAGUGUUUUACCUACAUUUAGAUCAAGUUCUUACAAGAUAUCACAUAAACUGAAAAUUAUCAAUUAUCCUUAAAAUUGAUGUUGAAAAUAAGGGUAUGGUCAUAUAAACCUUAUUAGGGCUGUUUAAAAAUUAAAUGCCUACAGAGGUCAUUAGGCACUUCUUUUAAACCACAACCACUCAUUAUAUAAAAUUUUCAUUUUACAUUUAUCAUUGUGUGAUUUGUUUUUGUACUAAUAACAAUUUUCACUGCUUACAGUUUUCACUGUUCAGUUUUUAUUCAGGUGUUUUCUCAAAUCUGAAAAGCAUGUCCUGUAGAUUGAUUUUAGGUAUCUAGUUUUUUUGUCAAGGCUUACUACGUUUUUUACUGUUUCCGAUUACUUUGCGAUUUUUGUAUGUAAAAAAACGGCGUCAUAUGUUUUCUUAAAAAAUAAAAAUUGGAUCAUUACACGGACAGGAAAUGACUAUAAAAUCCGGAAAUGUAUAUUUUCUAGUCAUGGUUCUAGUGAUCGCUUGAAUCAUAAAAAAAG
rnacentral:lncRNA from 1 species